GAACUACAGAAACAUGGGGGAAGUGGUGGUGAUUUGCAGAUGAAAUCACCCCCGUGGUAUUGGCAUCUUGACAGGGCUCAUUCUUCACCUUCCCUGAACCAGGUGUGGAAGUCCAGUUACUUCCCAUAUAGCUGAUAAAUUCUGGCUGCAAACGAAUCCAAGUGCUUUCUUUCUUAUUUUUUCCUUCUGUUAGAAACAGAAGGAAUCAGGCAAAAAAAAAAAAACAUUUUGUGAGAAAACAACAGUUCCUUACUCUGUACCACCUGCUUAAAGGCAAGCUAAAGGCACCCAAAUGAUGCAACCCAUGAGUGUGGAAGAGGCUGGCCGAUGGGCUGUCACGUCUGGCUGAUCUGAUGUCAGAGCAGAUCAUGUGGUGCUCUGUGGGCAGCUGGGACUGGCCUGCCGAAAGCGCAUGGAUUACAGUCUGAGGCUGUAAUGGGAAAGUCGGCUCCUGGGCUACUGUCUGCUAGACAUCAGCUUGCUGGGAAGCUGGGGGCUCUCCGAUUUGCCUUGCUCCGGGACCCCUCCUGCUGCGUGACUCACAGGCGCAUUGCUGAGAGAAGCUGCUGCUCCCAGUAAGUAACUGAACAGGGACAUGAAGAACUGAUAUUUCAAAUGACAACCAUGUUGCAAAAGGUACUUUUGGUAUUUUAAUAUUACUGUAGAAGGAGCACUAUAAAAAGACACAGAGGUUGGAAUGUAUAAGUUCUAUUUUGGUAAAAAUAAUUUUUUGUGUAAACAGAUUUAAAGAUGUUAUAGUUUUGAUAAUAUUUUAAUUAUGAGAAAUGUAAUACCUAUAUGAUAGGACUUUUCUUUCUGAGUCUAGGAAAUUACUGUAAGUAUUAUUUGGGAAUAGAAAGAUAAAUAAAUUGAUCACUUUGUCAACAUAUUCAUUGGUGGAAUGAGGG
rnacentral:lncRNA from 1 species